UACGUAGGCAGCGAGCGUUGUCCGGAAUCAUUGGGCGUAAAGAGCGUGUAGGCGGCUCGGUAAGUCCGCUCUGAAAGCCCGGGGCUCAACCCCGGGAGGCGGGCGGAUACUGUCGGGCUAGAGUCCGGAAGAGGCGAGUGGAAUUCCUGGUGUAGCGGUGAAAUGCGCAGAUAUCAGGAGGAACACCAAUGGCGAAGGCAGCUCGCUGGGACGGUACUGACGCUGAGACGCGAAAGCGUGGGGAGCAAACAGG
rnacentral:rRNA from 1 species